UGUUUGAUGUUCUAACGUGGACCCGUUACCCGGGUUGCGGACAGUGUCUGGUGGGUAGUUUGACUGGGGCGGUCUCCUCCUAAAGAGUAACGGAGGAGCACGAAGGUUGGCUAAUCCUGGUCGGACAUCAGGAGGUUAGUGCAAUGGCAUAAGCCAGCUUGACUGCGAGCGUGACGGCGCGAGCAGGUGCGAAAGCAGGUCAUAGUGAUCCGGUGGUUCUGAAUGGAAGGGCCAUCGCUCAACGGAUAAAAGGUACUCCGGGGAUAACAGGCUGAUACCGCCCAAGAGUUCAUAUCGACGGCGGUGUUUGGCACCUCGAUGUCGGCUCAUCACAUCCUGGGGCUGAAGUAGGUCCCAAGGGUAUGGCUGUUCGCCAUUUAAAGUGGUACGCGAGCUGGGUUUAGAACGUCGUGAGACAGUUC
rnacentral:rRNA from 2 species